GUUUAAUUAGGGGCAAACCAAAAUUCAAUAUUUCACCUCAAUACAUAUAUGGCUAUUUACUAGAGACUAAUUAUAAAAAAUGAUUAAAAAUCAAUCUGUGAUUUGUUUCUAACAAAAUUGUAUUGAACUCAUUAUUCCUACCACACUUCUUUCACAUAGGACUAUAGGAGCAAACCAGAAUUGAAGCUCAUAGCUUGCUUCUACACUGUUGAGGUAUAUGACCUGAAUUCACAAUCUAGCUCCUUCAUUUCUCAAGAUAGGGUUUAUUUGAAGCCAUGGGAAUCAAAAACGGGAUCGCUCUCGCGUGGAUGGCAGGUUACCGCAAGUUAUGGUGCGAAUCGGAUUCCAAACGAGCCUUCAAUCUCCUCAAGGAAGGGUCUCGGAGGGGUUUUCAUGGCGCUUCUACAAUUGAGAUUCAUGACAAUGAGGAACUUACAUGCGGUGCUAUUCUUCUCCUGCACUCGAAUGAAGCCCUCCUUGCUGACAAGAACACCGUGAUUUUCCUCCGCUAAGUUCUCUUAUCUUUUCUUUGAAUUAGGGUUUUGUUUAUCUGGAAUCGAAUUAGGUUUAUUUGCUUUAAUAAUUUUAUUGUGUUUUGGAACCAAUCACAGUGUUUUUACCUAUUGAUAUGAAGGCAAAGAUUUUGGUA